GGAGAAGGGCUGUAGCUCAGUGGUAGAGCAUCUGCUUACCAUGCAGAGGGUUCCAGGUUCAAUCCCUGGCAUCUCCG